CAGGUGUGUGGCAGGAUACGUGGAAUGGUGAGGCGGGCAGGUGUUGAGUGGGUGUACCUCUAUAUUGCCGCCAGGUGUCUCUGCUGACGCACUGCAGGGAAUUGUGUGGGAAGAUCAUCGGGGCUUAGAAACACGGACGAUGUAAAUUGAAACAGAAUAAAGGGAGAGGAAGGAGAAAUGAUAAAAACGUAACUCGGACAACAAAAGAACAAGAAGAACAAAUGGAGAGAUGACACGAAGGAUUAAAGAAGAGAAAGAGAGAGAAAAAAAUGAUGAUAAUAACAUACUUGAGUGAUGAAACUAAGUGUUAAUAUAAGAGAUCACACACACACACACACACACACACACACACACACACACACACGGAAAUAUAUAUGAAGAUAAAUAAUAAAUGAAUAAAUAAAUAAAUAAAUAAG